UACUAUGCAUUAUCUACUGUGACCACAGUGGUGACCUCUACCCCUUUACUCCUUGACUGAAAGGAAAAGCAACAUCUCCUUCACUGGGAUUGACAGGUACAGAGGCUACACCUCCUUCACUGGGAUUGACAAGAUGCAGCUGACAGGGCUAGAAGUGUGUGGACACCAGACCAUAAACUUGCUGGACCAUAACAGUACUUCACUGUGCCCCAACAUCUGUGACUAUAUAGGCCUCAUUCCUCUGGGAAGGCUUUCUGUGAACAUCUGUGAGGUCAGGCAGUAAAAGAGAUCAGGUACGAAAGCAUCACCUCCUUCACUGGGAUUGACAAGAGGCAGCACUCCUUUCACUGGGACUAACAGAAUCCUGCGGCUCAUGAGAGUGGAAUGAAGUGGACAGAGACGGGAUUGGAAAAGCUGGGUGACGAAGGAGCAUCAAGAACUGAGGAAGAACUAAAUCAUUAGCGACCCCGAUUUCAUCCAGCUGAUCAGAACUCCUACCAGCUGCUGACGAGUGUGAGGACUCUCACCAGCCGCCACUAGCAGAAGGUUUGGACAACUGGAGCAGGUGGCACUGUGUUCGUGCUUCACAGCUCCAGGGUCCUGGGUUCAAUCCUGAGCUCUGAUUCCAGUCAGUGUAUCAGUGUGACUGCUUUCCCUGGCUUCCUUCACCACCUAUAAGCAUUCAGGAGCUCCUGAGGGAACCUCUCUGGACAUCCAGAACCAGACGCCUGUCACGCAGUCUGCAGUGGUGCUGUUGCUGUGGAGACCGGAGUUUCCUGAAAAGUGGAGGUGCAUUAAAGGGCCAGUGAUGGAAGGAAAGCGUAGAUCAGCUGUUUCAGAGAGCAAAAGCCUGACAGCGCUGAUGAUCCACGGAGUCACCCGGCUGAACGAAGGAGGACUUUCCCUUUCCAGGUUCUCGGCUUCUCGCCCACUUUGCUCUUCGGUGACCUCUGUUUUCGACUAGAACCUGCCUCGGGAGAUCGUUCACUGGCACUAACUUCGGUCCUUCCCGGAAAACGCUGAAGUUUGGCCGGCGCAGCCAGGGACGCUAACGUGAUUUACGAGCGCUGUCUGAAGUGACGAGACAGCAAACUACACGCGCCCGUAUCCUCGGGGGAAAAAAGGUAGCGGUGCUCAGGUGUGCACGUGAGUAGGAGCGCGCUGAUUGGUUGGAUGUGUGAUGAAAGAGGAAGUUUUGCGAUCGCUCGGUGUACGGCUGAGCAGUGGCUUCGGUCCUGUUGCAGUGACCGGUAACUGCUGAUACUGACCGGUAACUGCUGAUACUGACCGGUAAGCCGCACCAUGCUCAGGACUAAGGUCACCGUUACCGGACGAUACACCGGACGAUACGCGACGUCACUCCGCCCCUAGCCCUCGUCACCGCAGAGGAAGAAAGUCUCCAUCCGUCUCCAAAGAGUCCAUCCGUGUCGGCCGCUGAAGUUUGGGCCGAACGAUCCGGUCACCCGUCGUCGUCAGGAGCGGCCUGACCGUCACGUGACUCGACGACGAGCAGGAAGUGCAGUCCUCACCAGGAAGGCUCGUUUAGUAUUAAACGUGUUCAUAUGAUGUGUGAAUAUUGUAAUAAACUCCCCAGUGCAUGUAAGCAGCACAAAAUAAUAAUAAAAAGAUUCCUGAA